rnacentral:rRNA from 1 species
UGGAUGAUGUGGUUUAAUCGAUGCAACGCGAAAACCUUUACCCACCUUUGACAUGUACGGAAUCCUUUAGAGAUAGAGGAGUGCUCGAAAGAGAGCCGUAACACAGGUGCUGCAUGGCUGUCGUCAGCUCGUGUCGUGAGAUGUUGGGUUAAUCCCGCAACGAGCGCAACCCUUGUCAUUAGUUGCCAUCAUUUGGUUGGGCACUCUAAUGAGACUGCCGGUGACAAACCGGAGGAAGGUGGGGAUGACGUCAAGUCCUCAUGGCCCUUAUGGGUAGGGCUUCACACGUCAUACAAUGGUCGGUACAGAGGGUUGCCAACCCGCGAGGGGGAGCUAAUCCCACAAAGCCGAUCGUAGUCCGGAUCGCAGUCUGCAACUCGACUGCGUGAAGUCGGAAUCGCUAGUAAUCGUGGAUCAGCAUGUCACGGUGAAUACGUUCCCGGGUCUU